GGGGAUAACUACUGGAAACGGUAGCUAAUACCGCAUAAUGUCGCAAGACCAAAGUGGGGGACCUUCGGGCCUCAUGCCAUCAGAUGUGCCCAGAUGGGAUUAGCUAGUAGGUGGGGUAAUGGCUCACCUAGGCGACGAUCCCUAGCUGGUCUGAGAGGAUGACCAGCCACACUGGAACUGAGACACGGUCCAG
rnacentral:rRNA from 1 species